GGAUGUGAGGGCGAUCUGGCUGCGACAUCUGUCACCCCAUUGAUCGCCAGGGUUGAUUCGGCUGAUCUGGCUGGCUAGGCGGGUGUCCCCUUCCUCCCUCACCGCUCCAUGUGCGUCCCUCCCAAAGCUGCGCGCUCGGUGGAAGAGGACGACCAUCCCAGAUAGAAGGAGUGUACCGUUCUUCGGUCAAGGGUAUACGAUAGCUGCGCUCCUCUGCUAGAACCUCCAAACAAGCUCAAGAGUGAGCAAGCUCGUGAUGGAUUGAAGAUUGUACUGAUUCCAUUUUCAUUUUGGAAAAAAGGGUUAGU